UACGUAGGGGGCGAGCGUUGUCCGGAAUGACUGGGCGUAAAGGGCGUGUAGGCGGUCAUUUAAGUCUGGAGUGAAAGUCCUGCAUUCAAUGUGGGAAUUGCUUUGGAUACUGGAUGACUUGAGUGCGGAAGAGGUAAGUGGAAUUCCCAGUGUAGCGGUGAAAUGCGUAGAGAUUGGGAGGAACACCAGUGGCGAAGGCGACUUACUGGGCCGUAACUGACGCUGAGGCGCGAAAGCGUGGGGAGCGAACAGGAUUAGAUACCCCUGUA
rnacentral:rRNA from 1 species